UACGGAAGGCAGCAGUGGGGAAUAUUGCACAAUGGGCGAAAGCCUGAUGCAGCUAUGCCGCGUGUAUGAAGAAGGCCUUAGGGUUGUAAAGUACUUUCAUCGGGGAGGAAAAAACAAAACUAAUAAUUUUAUUUCUUGACGUUACCCGAAAAAGAAGCACCGGCUAACUCCGUGCCAGCAGCCGCGGUAAUACGGAGGGUGCUAGCGUUAAUCAGAAUUACUGGGCGUAAAGAGCACGUAGGUGGUUUUUUUAAGUCAGAUGUGAAAUCCCUGGGCUUUAACCUAGGAACUGCAUUUUGAAACUGAAAUACUAAGAGUAAUCGUAGAGGGAGGUAGAAUUCUAGGUGUAGCGGUGAAAUGCGUAGAUAUCUGGAGGAAUACCUGUGGCGAAAGCGGCCUCCUAAACGAAUACUGACACUGAGGUGCGAAAGCGUGGGGAGCAAAACAGGGAUUAGGAUACC
rnacentral:rRNA from 1 species